rnacentral:rRNA from 1 species
AGUGAACGCUGGCGGUAGGCCUAACACAUGCAAGUCGAACGGCAGCACAGUAAGAGCUUGCUCUUACGGGUGGCGAGUGGCGGACGGGUGAGGAAUACAUCGGAAUCUACUUUUUCGUGGGGGAUAACGUAGGGAAACUUACGCUAAUACCGCAUACGACCUACGGGUGAAAGCAGGGGAUCUUCGGACCUUGCGCGAUUGAAUGAGCCGAUGUCGGAUUAGCUAGUUGGCGGGGUAAAGGCCCACCAAGGCGACGAUCCGUAGCUGGUCUGAGAGGAUGAUCAGCCACACUGGAACUGAGACACGGUCCAGACUCCUACGGGAGGCAGCAGUGGGGAAUAUUGGACAAAGGGCGCAAGCCUGAUCCAGCCAUACCGCGUGGGUGAAGAAGGCCUUCGGGUUGUAUAGCCCUUUUGUUGGGAAAGAAAAGCAGCAGGUUAAUACCCCGCUGUUCUGACGGUACCCAAAGAAUAAGCACCGGCUAACUUCGUG